GCCUUCCUUCUUUCCUCCUCCAAAGCAGCCUUCAGAUCCGUCGAAGUUUGUUCCUCCUUCUGAAGUGCCUCUUGGAGACUCGUGACUUCAGCGAUCUUCUUCUUAAGAUGGGCAGCCUCAGUCUGGCAACCUUCCUCCGCCUGGGCUGCUUCCUUCUUUGCAUUUUUCAUCACCUCGAUGUUGGUGAUAAGCUGGUAUCCAAUCUACAAGAGC
rnacentral:lncRNA from 1 species